rnacentral:rRNA from 1 species
UGCAAGUCGAGGGGCAGCAUAAAUUACUUGUAAUUUGAUGGCGACCGGCGAACGGGUGCGUAACGCGUAUGCAACUUACCUUUUACUAGAGAAUAGCCAAGAGAAAUUUUGAUUAAUGCUCUAUGUUCUUAUUUACUCGCAUGAGUAAAUAAGCAAAGCUCCGGCGGUAAAAGAUGGGCAUGCGUCCUAUUAGCUUGUAGGUGAGGUAAUGGCUCACCUAAGCUCCGAUAGGUAGGGGUCCUGAGAGGGAGAUCCCCCACACUGGUACUGAGACACGGACCAGACUUCUACGGAAGGCAGCAGUAAGGAAUAUUGGACAAUGGAGGCAACUCUGAUCCAGCCAUGCCGCGUGAAGGAAGACGGCCUUAUGGGUUGUAAACUUCUUUUAUACAGGAAGAAACCUUUCCACGUGUGGAAAGCUGACGGUACUGUAAGAAUAAGGAUCGGCUAACUCCGUGCCAGCAGCCGCGGUAAUACGGAGGAUCCAAGCGUUAUCCGGAAUUAUUGGGUUUAAAGGGUCCGCAGGCUGUUUGUUAAGUCAGAGGUGAAAUCCUACCGCUCAACGGUAGAACUGCCUUUGAUACUGGCAAGCUUGAGUUAUUGUGAAGUAGUUAGAAUGUGUAGUGUAGCGGUGAAAUGCAUAGAUAUUACACAGAAUACCGAUUGCGAAAGCAGAUUACUAACAAUAUACUGACGCUGAGGGACGAAAGCGUGGGUAGCGAACAGGAUUAGAUACCCUGGUAGUCCACGCCGUAAACGAUGGUCACUAGCUGUUCGACGUACAUUGGUACGUUGAGUGGCUAAGCGAAAGUGAUAAGUGACCCACCUGGGAGUACGCUCGCAGAGUGAACUCAAAGGAAUGACCGGGCGCCCAGCGGUGGAGCAUGUGUAUCGAUGAUCCCAGACUACAGACUAAUGUAGUGC